GACGAACGCUGGCGGCGUGCUUAACACAUGCAAGUCGAACGGAAAGGUCCUGCUUUUGGGGGGUGCUCGAGUGGCGAACGGGGGAGUAACACGUGAGUAACCUGCCCUUGACUGUGGGAUAACUUCAGGAAACUGGGGCUAAUACCGGAUAGGAGCUCCUGCUGCAGGGUGGGGGCUGGAAAGUUUCGGCGGUUGGGGAUGUAGUUGCGGCUUAUCAGCUUGUUGGUGGGGUAGUGGUUUACCAAGGCUUUGACGGGUAGCCGGCCCGAGAGGGUGACCGGCCUCAGUGGCACUGGGAUAGGGCCCCGGCUCCUACGGGAGGGAGCAGUGGCAGAUGUUGCACAAGGGGCGGAAGCGUAAUGCAGCAACGCCGCGGGCGGGAUGGCGGCCUUGGGGUUGGAGUCCUAUUUCGCCUUUGCCGGAGCGUGUAUGGCGGUAACGGGUAGAGAAGCCCCGGCUAACUACGUG
rnacentral:rRNA from 1 species